rnacentral:rRNA from 1 species
AUGGCAACCGGCGGGAGGCCAACCACCAUGCGCGCCGUCCAGUACAGUGGCUACGGUGGUGGCAGCGCUGCCCUCAAGUAUGUGGAGAUCCCUGUUCCAUCACUGAAAAAAGGUGAAGUUCUUAUAAAAGUUGAAGCAGCAAGCAUCAAUCCAGCCGAUUGUCGGAUACAGAAGGGACUGCUACGUCCUUUUGUCCCUCAAUUUCCAUUUAUUCCAGUAACCGACGUUGCUGGAGAGAUUGUCGAGGUUGGUUCUGCGGUUCAAGAGUUCAAAGUUGGCGACAAGGUUGUCUCCAAGUUGAUAUUCUGGAAAGCUGGUGGCCUCGCAGAGUACGUGGCGGCAUCCGAGAGCAUCACCGUCCCCCUCCCUGCCGGCGUGUCCUCUGCGGAUGCCGCAGGGCUUCCCGUGGCCGGCCUCACGGUGCUUCAGGCCGUGAAGGCCAUCGGCACCAAGUUUGACGGCACGGGCGUUGGCAGCAACAUCCUGAUCACCGCUGCGUCCGGCGGCAUCGGCUCGUACGCCGUCCAGCUCGCUAAGCUCGGGAACCACAACGUCACGGCCACCUGCGGCGCGCGCAACCUGGAGCUUGUCGCGGACAUGGGCGCCGACGAGGCGCUCGACUACAAGACCCCGGAAGGCGCGGCACUGAAGAACUCUUCCGGCAAGAAGUACGACUACAUCGUCAACACCACGAACGGCGGCAAGUGGUCGGCGUUCAAGCCGAGUCUCAGCAGCCACGGCAGAGUCGUCGACGUAGCUCCCAACUUUGGGAACUUUGUCGCGUCCAUUCUGACGCUAUUCUCCAAGAAGAAGCUGUCCACGGUUAUCCUGUCGCUGGGUAUGGAGGACCUCAGGUUUUUGCUUGAGCUGGUGAAGGAAAGGAAGCUCAAGACGGUCAUCGACUCGCGGCAUCCAUUCGAGAAGGCGGCAGAUGCGUGGGAAAAGAGCUUGAGCGGCCAUGCAACGGGGAAGGUCAUAGUUGGCAUGUGA